ACUCAAAGGAAUUGACGGGGGCCCGCACAAGCGGUGGAGCAUGUGGUUUAAUUCGACGCAACGCGAAGAACCUUACCUGGGCUCGAACGGCUGAAGACCGGCCUUAGAAAUAGGGUCUUUUCCGCAAGGAACUUUAGUCGAGGUGCUGCAUGGCUGUCGUCAGCUCGUGUCGUGAGAUGUUGGGUUAAGUCCCGCAACGAGCGCAACCCUUGUCCUGUGUUGCUAACCGGAAGGUGCACUCUCAGGAGACCGCCAGCGAUAAGCUGGAGGAAGGUGGGGAUGACGUCAAGUCAUCAUGGCCUUUAUGUCCAGGGCUACACACGUGCUACAAUGGACGGUACAAACCGCAGCAAACCUGCGAAGGGGAGCAAAUCGGAAAAAACCGUUCUCAGUUCGGAUUGCAGGCUGCAACUCGCCUGCAUGAAGCUGGAAUCGCUAGUAAUGGCAUAUCAGAACGAUGCCGUGAAUACGUUCCCGGGCCUUGUACACACCGCCCGU
rnacentral:rRNA from 1 species